CCCCUCUAGCCAAGUCUUAGGUCAAAGCAAAUUCAUUUUUCCUUUGCUAGUUGGAGGCCUUCUUGUCAUCCUAGAAGUGACACUAGCAGUGAUGGUGCUGGGGGUUUGGUGGAUGGUUGGGACCCCCGUACCCCUCUCUACUUGAGUCCAGAAUUCUCUGAAGUUCAGGUAUGAUUUGGAAUGGCCCUGUUUUUAGCCUCCCAUUGUGUGCCUCUCCUGCUGUCUCUUUCCCCAAGCUUACAGAGGAAGUGGUCUUGUAGAAACCACAAGCCUCAGGCUGGAUGCUUGUUAAGUUUGAAAUGAGGUACUGGUAGCAGAGGAGCUGGUCCACUCAUGAGGCAGACUGAGGCAGCUGCCUCAGGCAGCAGAAUCCAGGGGGUCGCAGCUAUGGGCACCACCACUGGAGAAGCAAGGCAAAGAGGUAGCAGCUUCUGGGUUGUGGUGGGAUAGCACGAUAGCCCCAUGGAAUCUUGUGAAAUUUUGGGGGGAUCUUGCAGGCUCUCAUGGGACUCUUGCAAGAUCAUGGUGGAACCCUGAAGUCACCACCACACAAGCUAGGUAAGUGGGGCUUUAGCAGGGACACAGGUCAGCACUUACCCAUUGUGCCUCAGGUGGUAAAAUAGGCUGGCCCACCCCUGAGCUGCCCGCAAUACAUGCAUGCAGGAUAGGCUCUGAUGCUGCUAUAAGGAUGGUGGUCACUUAUUCAUAUUACAUAUGAAUCAAGGGUUUGAAGAGUUAGAAAUAGGAGCCCUUUUGUUCCACAUGCAGAAUGAAUGUGUGAGGGGUGAGGCCGAAAAAGAGCGCCUGGCCCUUUGCACAUAGCCAUUGUCCAAGAAAUAAAAUAUUAUUUGUAAUAACAAUCAUAACUAGAUCUGUGCAAGAUUGUUGUCAUGUCCCCAGAACUGUUUUGCAUCGCACUUACUUUAUCCAUUCAGCAAAUUUAUGAAAUACCUUACACUCUGCCAUGGAAAAUGUCGUAUCUUGCAAAAUGCUGACAAACAGGGAAUUCGGAGCCAUGCAGCCCAGCCCUUAGGCAAAGCCCAUCACCAUAUAAAAUGGAACUAUAUUAAUGCAAGUAACAAGGACAGCUGGGUUUGUAUUAUAGUCAUUUAGAUGUGGUGUGCAUAAAAAAAAUUAAAAUGAAGCGUCAGGGCCUUUCCAACAGAAAUCAAACUGAAAUAAAAACAUUCUAUAAGAAAAAGUGUGACAAUAGCCUCCAAGUGUAAAAUACAAACAAAGAACAGACCCACAACCACACAAGUUUGGCUCCCAACUCCCCAAACUGAUGUACAACAUGGAUCUAAGCAUACUUACUCAAGAAGUGAGUCUCGUUGAGUUCAGAGGGGCUUACCCCACCAGUAAGCAUGCUUAAGAUUGUAGCCUAUGCUUGUUUAACUUGGAAAUAAGUUCCACAUUAGCCCAUCUCAUACACAGAUGAUUUGUGAUCAUGAAGGAAAUUAACCCCUUCCUCCAUGUCCAGUUCCUCUAACAGCAAAGUUCUGCAAAGUCUUUAUAUGUUCAGAGGAAGGAACACAAAUUGGGUUGGAUGACAGGAGAUGCCAUGAUGAGAUCAAUGUUGAUGGCAGAGCUGUUGUUGCACAGGUAUGGUUGGGGGAGUGCAAGUAACUGUGGCUAUGCGUUCAAGUCUUUGGGCUGUUGUUGCCCAUGAGAGAGGCUGCAAACAUCAAUAUAUAUGAACCUAGCAGUAGAUUUGAGAUCACUGCAUAUACGGGUCAUCCUGUGAUUCAUUUCUUAGUAGUUAUUCCUUAGAAUAUUAGCAAGUUUAGGAAAGGUGGUGUGUGUGUGUGUGUGUGUGUGUGUGUGUGUGAGAGAGAGAGAGAGAGAGAGAGAGAGAGAGAGAGAAGGAGGCUUUGUGUAUGGUUUUGUUAGAGGAGCUUAACUGAAGACAGUAGUCAUAGGCGUGAGACUGAAUGGCCUGAGUCAAUAAAGAGGCACAGAAUGCCUUGAGACAGAUGAGGAACCUGUGGCACUACGCAUGUUGUGGGUCUCCAUCAGCUUCAGCCUGUCCAACAACAUCUGGCAGUCCAUGUAUACCAUUUCCCCAUGCCUGUUUCAGACCAGCCACAGUAUGGAUGAUUAGCCUACAUUUUCUCAAGCACCCACAGUAUCGUAAGGAGCAAAGAGGGCUGCACCACCAUGCUGUCAAAGACAGAGGUACUGAUCCCAUGCUUGCAAUAUAUGUAACCAAUUUAUGUAAACCAACAUUUGCCCCACUGCUUUUCUCUGGGAAAACUAGCUCUGAAUUGGAACAAGCUGCAGUUGAGUUAAACCUAUUAAAUCAUAGGUUUUUCUGGGGAAAGUGGUGAGGCAAAGGGAAUACCACUCAGACCUGUGCCUAAAAAGCAGGGGGCAAGCAGAAAACUACUAGAGAGUUUCUAGAGAAGUAUGGGUGAGCCCUAAGUUUUUAAUGAAUAAUGUAGCAAGAGUAUGAGUCUGACCAAACUGCGGGAGGCAGUGGAAGACAGGAGUGCCUGGUGUGCUCUGGUCCAUGGGGUCACGAAGAGUCGGACACGACUAAACGACUAAACAACAACAGCAAGAGUAUCCAAUGCAUUUCAAGCCAACCAAAGAGACUCUCCAUCAUCAGGGCAUUUUAGAAUGUGUACAAUAGCUAUGAGACUUCUGAACAGUUGAGAUGUAAAUUUCUUCACAGUCAUUCUUAUUUUUAUUUUAUGUUAGCGGUUUCCCCCAGUUCUGCUACUUGAGACCCUUUUAAAUUGAGAUGUUAGUGUCUGAACCUGAAGCUUCCUACAUCUAGGCACAUUGAGCAGAUCCGCACCACACAUUUAAAGUACUGUAUCUUAUUCCCCCACCCCAUCCCGAAUCCUGGGAAUGGUAGUUUGUUAAGAAUGCUGGGAAUCAUAGCCCUGUGAGAAGAAAACUACAGCUCCCAAGGUUCUUGCAAGGGAAGUCAGGUGCUUUAAAUGUGCACAGGAUGUGCUUUCAAUGUAUGGUGUGGCUCUACUCUGAGUUAUGGGUCCUGCUGCCCUUCCAUAUUUUCCUUCUCUCCAUUUGUUCUUGAUAAACUAUUCCAAAUGUUAUCAAAAGCACAGGCCAUGGUGAAUGGUGCAAACGAAAUGAAUUUGUGUCAGUUGCCACAAUUUGGCCCAGAAAGCCAUAUUCGAAACCUUAUGCUGUAUGGUAGAACACACUGAUUUUUUCCUGAAUGACUUUCUUUCUUUCUUUCUUUCUUUCUUUCUUUCUUUCUUUCUUUCUUU